CGAUGGCGAUGAAAUCGGAGUGCGCGGUGAUUCCAUGAAGAUGGAAAGUGGGAGCGGAGAUGAAAUCGGAGUGCGCGGUGAUUCCAUGAAAACGAAACAACAGCAAGAAGAAUGAAUCAGAGAGAGAGAGCUUUCAGAAAAGAAUGAGAUUAUUAUUAUCAGAGAGAGAACAGAGGAAUGAAUGAAUAGUUAGGGUUCCCGGAUUUGGGCGCUCAUUAUUUAUAAGGAUAAGGACGUGAUAUGCACGCACUCAACAACGGUCGGUAACCUUUUUUUUUUUUUUAAGAAAAAAAAAAUUACUUAGGCGGUGUAUAUUUUUAAGAAAAAAAG
rnacentral:lncRNA from 1 species